CUUUUAACUGUUUAACUCAAGAAUAGCAAAAUGGGGCUGGCGAGAUGGCUGGGUGCGCCAUCUCAUAGGCCUUAUGAGGUUUUCUUAACUCAGGUUUGUCUACAUACAGGUUUGUCCUGAACUAGAAGCACAUUGAGAGAAGGGAAAACGAAUGGCUUUCCACACUAAAAGCUGCUGUGAACUGGAAUGCCUGCAACACUGGGCCUUGCCACAUUUAUCACUGUGGUGACCCUCAGCCAAAUGUGAUGUCUUUAGAGAUGAGAAACAGGACAUGGUCUACCUGAUAAGACG
ensembl:antisense Gm16161 predicted gene 16161